UUUUCAUUUUCCAAAAGCGGAGGAAAAGAAACUAACAAGGAUUCCCCUAGUAGCGGCGAGCGAAGCGGGAAGAGCUCAAAUUUAUAAUCUGGCACCUUCGGUGUCCGAGUUGUAAUCUCUAGAAAUGUUUUCCGCGUUGGACCGCACACAAGUCUGUUGGAAUACAGCGGCAUAGUGGUGAGACCCCCGUAUAUGGUGCGGACGCCCAGCGCUUUGUGAUACAUUUUCGAAGAGUCGAGUUGUUUGGGAAUGCAGCUCAAAUUGGGUGGUAAAUUCCAUCUAAAGCUAAAUAUUGGCGAGAGACCGAUAGCGAACAAGUACCGUGAGGGAAAGAUGAAAAGCACUUUGGAAAGAGAGUUAACAGUACGUGAAAUUGUUGGAAGGGAAACGCUUGAAGUCAGACUUGCUUGCCGAGCAAUCGGUUUGCAGGCCAGCAUCAGUUUUCCGGGAUGGAUAAUGGUAGAGAGAAGGUAGCAGUUUCGGCUGUGUUAUAGCUCUCUGCUGGAUACAUCUUGGGGGACUGAGGAACGCAGUGUGCCUUUGGCGGGGGUUUCGACCUCUCACACUAGGAGACUCGAUGCAGGG
rnacentral:rRNA from 1 species